UACGUAGGGGGCUAGCGUUGUCCGGAAUCAUUGGGCGUAAAGAGCGUGUAGGCGGCCCGGUAAGUCCGCUGUAAAAGUCAAAGGCUCAACCUUUGAAUGUCAGUGGAUACUGCCGGGCUAGAGUCCGGAAGAGGCGAGUGGAACUCCUGGUGUAGCGGUGGAAUGCGCAGAUAUCAGGAGGAACACCGGUGGCGAAGGCGGGUCUCUGGGCCGUAACUGACGCUGAGGAGCGAAAGCAUGGGGAGCGAACAGG
rnacentral:rRNA from 1 species